rnacentral:rRNA from 1 species
UACGAAGGGGGCUAGCGUUGCUCGGAAUCACUGGGCGUAAAGCGCACGUAGGCGGCUUUCUAAGUCAGGGGUGAAAUCCUGGAGCUCAACUCCAGAACUGCCUUUGAUACUGGAGAGCUUGAGUCCGGAAGAGGUGAGUGGAACUCCGAGUGUAGAGGUGAAAUUCGUAGAUAUUGGGAAGAACACCGAUGGCGAAGGCAGCCAUCUGGACCGACACUGACGCUGAGGCGCGAAAGCGUGGGGAGCAAACAGG